GGGCCCGCACAAGCGGUGGAGCAUGUGGCUUAAUUCGAGGCAACGCGAAGAACCUUACCCGGGUUUGACAUUGAGCGCCGAUCCCUGAAAGGGGAGUUUCCUUCGGGACGCAAAAACAGGUGCUGCAUGGCUGUCGUCAGCUCGUGCUGUGAAGUGUUCGGUUAAGUCCGGCAACGAGCGCAACCCAUACCCUUACUUGCUAACAGGUAAAGCUGAGAACCUUAAGGGGACUGCCCGUGUUAAGCGGGAGGAAGGUGUGGAUGACGUCAAGUCAUCAUGCCCCUUACAUCCUGGGCUACACACGUACUACAAUGCUACGGACAAAGGGCAGCAAGUUCGCGAGGACAAGCAAAUCCCAUAAACCGUGGCUCAGUUCAGAUCGUAGGCUGCAACUCGCCUACGUGAAGGCGGAAUCGCUAGUAAUCG
rnacentral:rRNA from 1 species